AGACAUUAUUACUUUAUGUAUAUAUGUUACUGCAUUACCACUAUGAUUCUACAACAUGUACACUUAAAAAAUGAGAAAUUAUAUCCCAUCUAUAUGUAUGAUACAUCAAAGUGCAUAAAUGCAUCCUAUUGUCAUGUGUAACUAAUUAAAACAAAUUAAAAAUUAAAAAACAAAAAAAAUUAUAUAUAUGUGUCUUCAGUCACAUUAGAAGAGGAGUUAAAAACAGAAACUACAAUAAUACUGGAUUUUACUUCAGGUUUGAAGAUGAAAUAAAAAACUUCCACAAUAAACAAAAGUUAAAAGAAUUUGCAGCUAGAAAACUGGUGCUUCAAAACAUCCUUAGAAAAACAUAACAUGAAGAGGAAAUGAAAAAUAACUAUGAAAAUCAACAGUAGGAGGUAGUACAGUAAAGGAAAAUCUAAUCAAAGAGGGAAAACAAAUCUAGUUAAAUAACAAAAAUAAACAAAUAUGGCUGGAAAUACAAACCAAUACCCUAAAUGUUAGUGGAUUAAACUCACCAUUCAAAAGACAUAGACAAGUAGACUGGAUUAAAAAAAAAGAUCCAACAAUAUGCUGCCUACAGUAGACUCAUCUGAUAGGAAAAGACAUAUCCAGACUAAAGGUGAAAGGUUGGGAAAAAUCAUACCACUCACAUGGACCUCAGAAACAAGAAGGGGUGUCCAUACGCAUAUCAAAUAAAAUAGACUUCAAGCCAAAGUUAAUCAAAAGGGAUAAAGAAGGACACUACAUACUUCUCAAGGGAACCAUUCACCAACAAGACAUAAUCAUUAAUAUAUAUGCCCCAAACAAAGGUACAGCUAUAUUCAUCAAACAAACUCUUCUCAAGUUCAAGAGUCAAAUGGACCACAACACAAUAAUCAUGGGUUAUUUUAAUACAUCUCUCUCACCACUGGACAGAUCUUCCAAACAAAAGUUGAAUAAAGAAACUAUAGAACUCAAUAACACAAUUAAUAACUUAGACUUAAUUGAAAUUUAUAGAAAAUAUCAACCAACAUCAAGCGGAUACUCUUUUUUCUCAACAGCACAUGGAUCCUUCUCAAAAAUAGACCAUAUAUUAUGCCACAGGGCAAAUCUGAGCAAAUACAAAGGAUAGAGAUACUACCAUGCAUUUUAUCUGAUCAUAAUGGAAUGAAAUUGGAAAUCAACGAUAAAAUAAGAAAGAAAAAUUCCUACAUCACAUGGAGAAUGAACAAUAUGCUACUGAAUGAAUAAUGGGUUACAGAAGACAUCAAGGUGGAAAUUAAAAAAAUUCUUAGAGGUAAAUGAAAACACAGACACAACAUAUCAAAAUCUCUGGGACACUAUGAAAACAGUACUAAGAGGAAAAUUCAUUGCUUGGAGUUCAUUCCUUAAAAGAAGAAAAAGCCAACAAAUAAACAACCUCACACUACAUCUCAAAGUCCUAGAAAAAGAAGAACAAAUCAACAACAAAUGCAGUAGAAGGCAAGAAAUAAUUAAAAUCAGAGCUGAAAUCAAUGAAAUCGAAACAAAAGAAACAAUUGAAAAAAUUGACAAAACUAAAUUGGUUCUUUGAAAAAAUAAAAAAGAUUGAUAGACCCUUAACCAUGCUAAUGAAAAGAAGAAGAGAGAGAACCCAAAUUACUAGCAUGCAGGAAGAAAAAGGCAAUAUCACAACAGACACUACAGAAAUACAGAAGAUAAUUAGAAAUUAUUUUGAAACCUUAUACUCUAAUAAAAUAGAAGAUAGUGAAGGCAUCAAUAAAUUCCUUAAGUCAUAUGAUCUGUUCAGGUGGAGUGAGGAAGAUAUAUACUACUUAAACAGACCAAUAUCAAGUGAAGAAAUAGAAGAAACCAUCAAAAUAUUACCAACCAAGAAAAGCCCAGGACCCGACAGAUAUAUAGCUGAGUUCUACAAGACCUUUAAAGAAGAACUAAUACCAAUACUCUGCAAUCUAUUUCAGGAAAUAGAAAAAGAGGGAGUACUUCCAAAUUCAUUCUACAAAGCCAAUAUCAUCCUUAUGUAAUUAAUUAUGACAAUUUUUUCAAUUGUUUCUUUUGUUUCAAUUUCAUUGAUUUCAACUCUGAUUUUAAUUAUUUCUUGCCUUCUACUGCUUUUGCUGUUGACACCUCAAAGAAAGAAAACUUCAGACCAAUAUCUCUAAUGAAUAUAGAUGCAAAAUCCUCAAUAAGAUUCUGGUAAAUUGGAUACAAAAAUAUCAUGCACCAUGAUCAAGUGGGAUUCAUCCCUGGGAUUCAAGGUUGGUUCAACAUAUGGAAAUCAAUAAAUGUAUUUCAUCAUAUCAAUAGACUUAAAGAUAAGAACCAUAUGAUCAUCUCGAUAGACACAGAAAAAGCAUUUGACAAAAUACAGCACUCCUUUAUGUUCAAAACUCUAGAAAAACUAGGGAUAACAGGAACUUACCUCAACAUUGUAAAAGCUAUCUACACUAAGCCUCAGGCCAGCAUCAUUCUAAAUGGAGAAAAACAGAAGGCACUCCCUCUAAAAUCUGGAUCAAGACAGGGAUGCCCUCUCUCAUCACUUAUUCAAUAUAGUUCUUGAAGCACUGGCCAGAGCAAUUAGACAGAUGAAAGAAAUUAAAGGAAUAACUAUAGGAAAAGAAGAACUUAAACUAGCACUAUUUGCUGAUGAUAUGAUUCUAUACCUAGAAGACCCAAAAAUCUCUACCAAGAAACUUUUAGAACUAAUAAAUGAAUUCAGCAAAGUGGCAGGAUAUAAAAUCAACACCCAUAAAUCAAAGGUAUUCCUGUAUAUCAGUGACAAAUCCUCUGAAAAGGAAAUGAGGAAAACUACCCCAUUCACAAUAUCCUCAAAAAAAAAAAAAAUAAGAUACUUGGGAAUCAACAAAAGAGGUGAAACAUCUAUACAAUGAAAACUAUAGAACCCUAAAGAGAGAAAUAGAAGAAGACCUUAGAAUAUGGAAAGAUCUACCUUGCUCAUGGGUAGGCAGAAUUAAUAUUAAUAAAAUGACCAUAUUACCAAAAGCCCUAUACAGGUUCAAUGCAAUUCUGAUCAAAAUCCCAAUAGCAUUCUUCACAGAAAUAGAAAAAGCAAUUAUGGAAUUCAUUUGGAAAAAUAAGAGACCCAGGCUAGCUAAAGCAAUUCUAAUCAGGAAGAGUGAAAAGUGGUAUUGCUAUACCAGACCUUAAACUAUACUACAGAGUAAUAGUAAGAAAAACAGCAUGGUACUGGCACCAAAACAGGCUGGUAGACCAAUGGUACAGAAUAGAGGACACAGAAACUAACUCACAAAAUUACAACUACCUUAUAUUAGACAAAGGUGUCUAAAGCAUGCUCUGGAGAAAGGAUAGCAUCUUCAACAAAUGGUGCUGGGAGAACUGGAAAUCCAUAUGCAACAAAAUGAAAUUGAAUCCCUAUCUCUCACCAUGCACAAAAGUUAACUCAAUAUGGAUCAAGGAUCUAGGGAUUAAACCAGAGACUCUGUGUCUAAUAGAAGAAAAAGUAGGCCCUAAUCUCCAUCACGUGGGGCUAGGCCCCAACUUCCUUAAUAAGACACCUAUAGCACAAGAAUUAAAACCAAGAAUCAACAAAUGGGAUGGAUUCAAACUCAAAAGUUUUUUCUCAGCAAAAGAAAUAAUAUGUGAGGUGUAUAGGGAGCCUACAUCCUGGGAACAAAUUUUUACCCCUCACACAUCAGAUAGAGCUCUAAUCUCUAGGGUAUAUAAAGAGCUGAACAAGAUAAGCACCAAAAAACAAAUAAUCUAAUCAAUAAAUGGGCCAAGGACCUGAACAGACAUUCUCAGAAGAGGAUAUACAGUCAAUUAACAAGUAUGCAAAAAAAAUGCUCAUCAUCUCUAGCAAUCAGAGAAAUGCAAAUUAAAACUACUCUAAGAUACCAUCUUACUCCAGUCAGAAUGGUAGCCAUUAUGAAGACAAACAACAACAAAUGCUGGUGAGGUUGAGGGGAAAAAGGUACAUUCAUACGUUGCUGGUGGGACUGCAAAUUGGUGCAGCCAAUUUGGAAAGCAGUAUGGAGAUUCCUUAGAAAGCUGGGAAUGGAACUACCAUUUGACCCAGUUAUUCCUUUUCUCAGUCUAUACCCAAAGAACCUAAAAACAGUAUACUACAGGGACACAGCCACAUCAAUGUUUAUAGCAGCACAAUUCACAAUAGCUAAAAUGUGGAGCCAACCUAGAUACCCUUCAAUGGAUGAAUGAAUAAAAAAUGUUACAUUUAUACACAAUGGAAUAUUACUCAGCACUAAAAAAAUAAGAUCAUGGCAUUUGCAGGGAAAUGGAUGGCAUUAGAGCAGAUUAUGCUAAGUGAAGUUAGCCAAUCCCCAAAAAUCAAAUGCUGAAUGUCUUCUCUGAUAUAAGGGGGGUGACUCAAAAUUGGAUAGGGAGGAAGAGCAUGGGAAGAAGAUUACCUCUAGAUAGGGAAGAGAGGUGGGAGGGAAAGGGAGGGAGAAGGGGAAUUGCAUGGAUGGUGGAAGGAGAUCCUCAUCGUUGUACAAUGAAAUGUGAAUUUGGUGUCAACAUAUCUUGUAUACAGAGAUAUGAUAAAUUGUGGUAUAAAGGUGUCUUAAGAAUUGUAAUGCAAAAAACAACAACAAUAAUAAUAAGAG
rnacentral:lncRNA from 1 species